AGAGUUUGAUCCUGGCUCAGGACGAACGCUGGCGGCGUGCCUAACACAUGCAAGUCGAGCGGGAGUGGUGUUUAACACUGAACAUUCUACUAAUAAGGCGCAAACAAAGCGUCAUGACGAAACAACCUUUAUGUUAAGAGUAGAUAAAAGUUUCGUCAUCACGCGUUUCCCAAGUGCCAACACAAAGGGGCAAAUCAAACACGCGGUUCCCGAGUGCCAACACAAAGGAACAAAACAAAGCAGUAGAAUAUUGAGUGUUAAACAUCACUCUAGCGGCGGACGGGUGAGUAACACGUGGGCAACCUGCCCUUGAGCGGGGGAUAACACCGGGAAAUCGGUGCUAAUACCGCAUAACAUACAAGUACCGCAUGGUGCGAGUAUCAAAGGAGAAAUCCACUCAAGGAUGGGCCCGCGGCUGAUUAGCUAGUUGGUAAGGUAAAGGCUUACCAAGGCGACGAUCAGUAGCCGACCUGAGAGGGUGAUCGGCCACACUGGAACUGAGACACGGUCCAGACUCCUACGGGAGGCAGCAGUGGGGAAUAUUGCGCAAUGGGGGGAACCCUGACGCAGCAACGCCGCGUGGAGGAAGAAGGUCUUCGGAUUGUAAACUCCUGUCUUCUGGGACGAUAAUGACGGUACCAGAGGAGGAAGCCACGGCUAACUACGUGCCAGCAGCCGCGGUAAUACGUAGGUGGCGAGCGUUGUCCGGAAUUACUGGGCGUAAAGAGCGCGUAGGCGGUUUUUUAAGUCAGAUGUGAAAAUCCAGGGCUUAACUCUG
rnacentral:rRNA from 1 species